rnacentral:rRNA from 1 species
UACGUAGGGUGCAAGCGUUGUCCGGAAUUAUUGGGCGUAAAGAGCUCGUAGGCGGUUCGUCGCGUCGGCUGUGAAAACCUGAGGCUCAACCUCAGGCCUGCAGUCGAUACGGGCGGACUUGAGUACUGCAGGGGAGACUGGAAUUCCUGGUGUAGCGGUGAAAUGCGCAGAUAUCAGGAGGAACACCGGUGGCGAAGGCGGGUCUCUGGGCCUUACCUGACGCUCAGGCGCGAAAGCUAGGGGAGCGAACAGG